GUGAACGCUGGCGGUAGGCCUAACCCAUGCAAGUCGAACGGCAGCACAGUAAGAGCUUGCUCUUACGGGUGGCGAGUGGCGGACGGGUGAGGAAUACAUCGGAAUCUACCUUUUCGUGGGGGAUAACGUAGGGAAACUUACGCUAAUACCGCAUACGACCUACGGGUGAAAGCAGGGGAUCUUCGGACCUUGCGCGAUUGAAUGAGCCGAUGUCGGAUUAGCUAGUUGGCGGGGUAAAGGCCCACCAAGGCGACGAUCCGUAGCUGGUCUGAGAGGAUGAUCAGCCACACUGGAACUGAGACACGGUCCAGACUCCUACGGGAGGCAGCAGUGGGGAAUAUUGGACAAUGGGCGCAAGCCUGAUCCAGCCAUACCGCGUGGGUGAAGAAGGCCUUCGGGUUGUAAAGCCCUUUUGUUGGGAAAGAAAAGCAGCAGGUUAAUACCCCGCUGUUCUGACGGUACCCAAAGAAUAAGCACCGGCUAACUUCGUG
rnacentral:rRNA from 1 species